GCCGGGUUGGUGUAGUUGGUUAUCACGUCAGUCUAACAGGAUCGUAUCUUGCGAGCACUGAAGGUCGCGCGUUCAAGUCGCGCAUCCGGUA
rnacentral:tRNA from 1 species